AACGAACGCUGGCGGCAUGCCUAACACAUGCAAGUCGAACGAGACCUUCGGGUCUAGUGGCGCACUGGUGCGUAACGCGUUGGAACCUGCCCUUAGGUUCGGCAUAACUCCCCGAAAGGGGUGCUAAUACCGGAUCAUGUCUUCGGACCAAAGAUUUAUCGCCUUUGGAUGGUCCCGCGUUGGAUUAGCUAGUUGGUAGGGUAAAAGCCUACCAAGGCGACGAUCCAUAGCUGGUCUGAGAGGAUGAUCAGCCACACUGGGACUGAGGCACGGCCCAGACUACUACGGGAGGCAGCAGUGGGGAAUAUAGGAAAAUGGGCGAAAGGCUGAAGCAGCAAGGACGGGUGAGUGAUGAAGGCCUGAGGGAUGUAAAGCUAUUUUACCCGGGAUGAUAAUGACAGUACCGGGAGAAUAAGCACCGGCUAACUCCGUG
rnacentral:rRNA from 1 species